rnacentral:rRNA from 1 species
AUUGAACGCUGGCGGCAGGCCUAACACAUGCAAGUCGAGCGGAUGAAGGGAGCUUGCUCCUGGAUUCAGCGGCGGACGGGUAAGUAAUGCCUAGGAAUCUGCCUGGUAGUGGGGGAUAACGUCCGGAAACGGGCGCUAAUACCGCAUACGUCCUGAGGGAGAAAGUGGGGGAUCUUCGGACCUCACGCUAUCAGAUGAGCCUAGGUCGGAUUAGCUAGCUGGUGGGGUAAAGGCCUACCAAGGCGACGAUCCGUAACUGGUCUGAGAGGAUGAUCAGUCACACUGGAACUGAGACACGGUCCAGACUCCUACGGGAGGCAGCAGUGGGGAAUAUUGGACAAUGGGCGAAAGCCUGAUCCAGCCAUGCCGCGUGUGUGAAGAAGGUCUUCGGAUUGUAAAGCACUUUAAGUUGGGAGGAAGGGCAGUAAGUUAAUACCUUGCUGUUUUGACGUUACCAACAGAAUAAGCACCGGCUAACUUCGUG